CAUACGGGGGGCAGCAGUGGGGAAUAUUGGACAAUGGGCGAAAGCCUGAUCCAGCCAUGCCGCGUGUGUGAAGAAGGCCUUCGGGUUGUAAAGCACUUUCAGUGGGGAAGAAAGCCUUGGGGCUAAUACCCUCGAGGAAGGACAUCACCCACAGAAGAAGCACCGGCUAACUCCGUGCCAGCAGCCGCGGUAAUACGGAGGGUGCGAGCGUUAAUCGGAAUUACUGGGCGUAAAGCGCGCGUAGGCGGUCUGAUAAGCCGGUUGUGAAAGCCCCGGGCUCAACCUGGGAACGGCAUCCGGAACUGUCAGGCUAGAGUGCAGGAGAGGAAGGUAGAAUUCCCGGUGUAGCGGUGAAAUGCGUAGAGAUCGGGAGGAAUACCAGUGGCGAAGGCGGCCUUCUGGACUGACACUGACGCUGAGGUGCGAAAGCGUGGGUAGCAAACAGGAUUAGAUACCCGUGUAGUC
rnacentral:rRNA from 1 species